UUUUGGGAAACUAAUUAAUAGUUAGUCACUGUUAAUGGCCAUAAGAAUAAGUUUUAUUCCUUAAAAU
rnacentral:tRNA from 1 species